GAGAGGCAAGGUAUCCCACCUCUGCCAUGUCACCCCUGGAGGCACCUCCCAUAGAACCAGCCUGACUGCAGUGCAUAGGAUCAGCACAUGAAGCUAGUUAUGGAGGGAGAAGGUCCUUCUCCAGCCCUUCUGUUUGCUGUGUCAGUCUCGAAUCCCUCAAAAUGCACUCACAGCGAAUGAACUCAGGGGCCCUCUUUGGGCUACAGCCCGAGCAGUUUACACAGAGAGACAGAGAAAAUAAAUUUGGUCCAUGUUCUGGCCUGACCUUGGCCUGAACCUGAGAAAGUGAAUGCCCCUAUCACACCAACAUGUGUCUGUAGAAGUACAGUAAACACAAAUGGGGGUCACUGGCCCUCUCUUAGUACAGCUCCAUGCCAGGAGUCUAGAGUUUUGGGCCAUCCGCCCGAGUACUUGUUAAUAAAUGUCCAUUCUCCAUCUGCGAAGGAAUGUAGACAGGGCAUCCUGCCCUACAAAACACAAACUGAGAAUAAAACAGAAAGAGAAUGUCGUCUGUGCAGAGCACUCACAUCCACCAGUCUCCAGUCACCAGACUGACCCUGCUGCUGUGGGCUGUGCCUGGGGGACAUCAUACCCACUAAUGCAACACUGCUUCUCUUCUAUUAUUGCAGUGUCCAGCCACAGUCUUUUCUGAGAGUGUUGGUGUGAAGACAGAGGGGUGCCAGGAAGGGAGAAAGCGAGGAAACAGCUGAUGCAGAGCCAGGGGUUCAGGCUCCCUGGGCUCGGCUCUGAGCUGUGCACGUCUGCGGAGCAUGUGGAGGACACAGCUAGCUGCCACCUCCGAGGGAGGGCUUUAUGGAUCCCCAAAUAAUUACAGCAUCACUGAGUUGAGUUGUAUAAUUUCUUGGCAAUAUACUAAUUAAAACUAGGUGUUUAUACAGAACGCUUGUUUAAACUUCAGACUUAUUUGAAAGAAUCUACAUACUUACAAUCACUAUAUAUCAUGGCUUUAUUGAGGACCACAUCUUUCAUGCAGAUUGAAUUCUCAGGUUGUUAUUAACAUAAACGAGCCCACGGCUUUCUGCUCAGGACUGAAUGCUUCCACUGCAUCUGAAUCACGCUGGUAUUUCAUUUCACCAUCUAGUAUUAUUUUUAAAAUCCUACGUUUUUUUCCUCUCCGAACUCUGGCAAUUAGGAAUGGCUCUGUGUUUACUAGGAGCAGAGUCCAGCAGAGCUGAGUGUUUAAUGUGAUGAGCAGCGCUAGGAGCUAGCAGAAAAGUCAGAUGCGUGUCGACACUUAUCAAAGCUGUUCUGCUGCUCAGAAUGACUGUUCGUGAUACUUGUUUCUUGAUAAACUUCCCCAGAACACGAUGUUACUGGAAAAAAAAGAUCCACUCUGAGAAACAGGCAGGUGACACAGUUGAGUCAGCAGCUUGCAACAGUGACACAGGCUUACGUUCAUGAAAAUCCCCACUGAACUCUUGUCUUCUGCAUGAGUCUAUCUCUGCUGUAAAAGCUGCUGCUGCAGAAGUGCCCCAGUUCUUGUGUUCUCUUGGUACUGCUUAGCAGAAAUCUUCCCGCUACGCUUACGAAGAGGGAGAUUCCUCGGCUCAAAAGUUGUAAUAGGCACAAAACUUUCCUCUUCUAUGAGUGAGUUGCCGUGUAGAUGCUAGGGACUGCUGGUACUUGCUGGGGGAAGUGAUAAAUGUGGAAAAAUAACAGGCCCUGUGGAAACCAGGCAACCCUACCUCCCGUCCGAGGGUUUAAUCACUGAAGUCACAGCAUUUCCCCGCGCAGAAGCAUCUCAGCAUUCAUGCAUAGGUGGAGAGCACCUCAUGCUGUGCUUGAAAUAUCAACUGGAUUUGAGAGAAGGCUUUGUGCUUUCCUACGGACCUUUCUUAGCCUCCUGCAGAUGGUCCCAUUGCUGAGAGGCGAUGUGCCUUGUGAGACAUGGAGUCCUCCAUGCUGCUUGCCAUACUGCCCUAAUCCCGCAUUCCACCCAUAAAGGACUUCGCUCCUUAAGCCUUCACCCUCUUUCUCCUAAAUAUUAAAAUUAUUUUCCUGAGUGUCAUACCGUAUUAAAGCAGAAUGAAAAUGGGUUUAACAAUUGCUGGCAUGGGGCUUCUGUACAGCAUGUGUGUCACAAAUCAUGUCACUUUUCAGCAAUAGGGCUGCUGCCAGCGGGAGGCUCAGAAAUGCUCAUGUUAAUCAAAAAUUUUAAUUUCAAAUCAAAUUGACAGUUUACACAUGGUGAGAAAUGCUUCUCACCAUGUGAUAUUUCAGUAUGCUACACUGGGCAAAAUGGGUGCACUUUCCUGUUAAGAAUUUUGACUGCUGUAUCUGCAAAUUUAUGGGUUUCAGCGUAUUGGGUAUGGUGAGUGGUUGAUCUAAGGGAGCCCCUUGGAGAAUAGGAGACAGAAGGGUUUUCAUGCAGCCUGGCACUGGUGAGCCGCUGCUGGCACAUGCUGCUGGAGAAAUGACAGGUAUUCAAUAAACAUCACUAUGGUUAAGAGGGAGAUUUAAGGGAGGGAAGGGCUGCGGUGCUAUAAACAGGAUUUGAAACAAAUGCGCUUAUUUCAGUCCGUGAUUAGUCUGAAUACCCAAGUAUUCCACACCAGUUUUUAGAUAUCUUUACAUUUAUUGUCACCCUGACGUUUUACUCAGCAUCAGCAGCAGUAGUUGCAGUAUUAAUGCUCUAGAACAAAUUCUCAUUUGAACUAGCACAAAAGCGAGCACGCAUUGCACUGUUAUGCCAUACAUGACAUGGCACUCAUCCUUUGGUGUGAAGAGCUGCGGGUUGUGCUUGGGGCAUGUGCUCACAGCACUGUUUCCUACAAACCCUCACUUCUGUGAGCAGCUCCCUGCAAAUCCACAGACAGAACCCGGCUGGGAAAACUGCAGCUGAUGCUUGGGUGGGAGCAAGAGGAGUGAGGACAGGGAACAGAGCACGUGCAGUCAUUGGUCUUGGAAUUGGGGCUGAUGUGAAAACAUCAAGAGAAAUAACUCUGUGUUAUUAUUUCGAGGAAGCAAGCCUUUCUUUUUAUUAUUCUUUUUGUUGUUGGAUGCCAUAAAUAUUCCAUAAUGAUCAUCCCAGUUAGAUCUCAUCUCUCUUACUUCGGAAGGCUUUUGAAGAGCACAUUACUAUAAAAGCUGCCAAAUGGGUAUGACCAUUUGUAAUGAUUUUUCUUCUUUUCUUUAAUAUUUGCUUUUUGGAUUGAAGACCUGAAACAGAAAUAUGCUAAUUUAAGACAUCUGUUGUUUUUCAAACUAUAGGCCCCUAUCGGUAUUAAUGCAUUUAGUUUAUUUAUCAGAUUGAGUAUAUGGUGGAGAUAGAGAUUCUUAGUUUUUAUCGUUAUAUCAAAAAAUUGCAUUUAACUGACUUCUCACCCAGAUGAGUUUCGAAAAGUACCCUACGAUGUUAGGAGUCAUCAGAAAUGAAAACCACACCACAUCUCAUCGAUCUUGGAAAGAUUUCCAUUGUGCGAGGUCCUUAAACAUGAACUUGAAGGGCUUUCAGUGUUUCAAGACCAUUAUCUUCCAGGGAUAAGAGCUAUCCUUGUGUCCUCUGCUUGGGCAAAGCCUGACAUGAUUGAUUCCAAUCUGUGAUCGGUUCAUUAAGAGUAAUAAGUUGCCAUUAAUUCCAGUAUCUCUGUACUUAGAUAUAAAAUGAGCUGCUUCUCCUAAGAGCUGAGGCUGCUGUGGACCCGUGCAGGUGGUGCUGGUGACACAGCCAGGCUGGCACCACAUUUGCUCAGGUCCGCCUUUAUUAAUUUGCAGCCCAGAUGACACAUACUGAAAUAAUAAUGAGGUGGUGCUAUUAUUAAGGAUUCCAAAAUGCCGUGAGCGUGAAAGGCUGUGCACAGUGAGACGCUGCACGUGGGUUCCCCUUCUCAUCCGUAACACCCAUCCUUACGUGCGGGUGGACCCGGUGCAGGCAUUGCACAGCAUGCAGACCGAGCAGGGCUGAGCAGCAGCACCAGGCAGAGGAAGCCAGCAGCAGCUCCCAGUCUUCCUGUCUGCUACAUACAGACCAUUUAUCUUAAAAAAAAAAAAAAAAAAAAGGCAAAUAAUUUAGCAGUGGUUUUGCAUACUGUGAAGGGUUAACAAAACUUUCAUUAUCACACUCUAUUAAGCCAGGACCAGGAAACAAUUUCUAAUCAACACUCUGAUCUGGGCAGGGAUUGUGCAGUCUUUUGUAGGAGGCCUCAGAUCUGUGUUCUCUAUUCUCACAUGCUCACUUCCAGCUGUUGUCAUUGAAAUCCCACAUAAUCUCCCCGGGUCAAAGGGCAGUCAUCCAUGACUGCCGCUGUUAGGAGGUUAUGCUGAUUUCUGUUGUCAAAUAUUGGCCCUUUUCUCUUUCAAUCACUCCCAUUCUACUUUUUUUAACAAGAAAGAUCCAGCCUAGAAUUGUAUUACAUGACUUUAAAGUCUUAAAAGUGUUCCUCUAUUGUACUGACACGACAUGCCCUGGACGGUCUAAUCCAUUCUGCCAUGGCCACAAAGAAAGUUCUGGUGCUUCCUAAAUCCUCUGCCAGCACCAGGUAGGUGAGCUGGGGAGAACAGAGCCGGCGUGCCGAGAGGGCUGGUUAUUUCCUAGGAAAAUGUGUCAUUUGUCCAAGGUCAGCUGUUGCUGUGGCGUUAAAAUUAAAUCAGAAAUAACAAGCUGAAAUACAAGUGGGAGUGUUUGAUGGGGAAGAAAGAGGGGUUUCGGAUCCACCAUUAGUGUAUUAUGUCGUGCUUAACUCUUCUACGAAAAGUCCAUGUAUUAAAAAUGUAGUAUAAUCUACCACUAAAGGUUUGUCCUGUACAAAUUUGAGGAACGUAUUUGCUACAAAGCCAUUAAACGAGGCUCUUAUGCCGGCUCUGGAGAUCUAUAUAUGGAAGAGAUCUCUAUCUGUUAGCAAAUGCAGAUUUGGUUACAGCUACCUUUCGUACCACGGGUGCCACUUCCAUCUGAGGCGGAUGGGUGAGAGCUCAGACCGAGCCCUGCAGGCUUCACUCCCCGCAGCGUUUCGAAUACGGAACAAACAGCACGAAUGCUUGGGCUGCUCACUGCUGGGGUGCCCCCAGCCCCUCCACUUGCCCUGCAGGGAGCAGGGAGGUGGAUGCAUGCAAGAAUGUGUGUGUGCACAUGGGCAUAUCCCAAAGUGAGUGCAUCCUGCUCCCUGGGUGUGCACAUGGACACCUCACCAUGCCCAGGGCUGUGCUUCUUGAAGGAGUGCAGACCCUGUGGCUGCAGUGGCCUGGUCAGCCCAUGCUUAAUGAACUCUCCUCCCAAUUAAACAGAGUAUUAAUGUUACGAAGGCCUUGAUCGACGUAUAUGUAUUCUGUCUUUUGCUGUCUGCUGCGGAAUGCAGAUUAGGACUGUCACUCACACACUCCUCCCCAGUGCUGCUGUGGAAGAACUGAUCUUCUGGGACUCCUCGGGGUGAUCCAGGUUCCCUCUGAUAACGUCCUCUCUCUCAAGGCCUGCGUGUGCUGUGUGAUACAGACAUUAAUUUUCUAAUCAAUACUAUUGCUCCACAUUGUUUGUGAAACAUGGGAUUAUCUAGAUAGAGGAUAAAACCAAAAGGAAUCGAGUUGCACUUUGAGCAGAGAGGGCUUUUCUUUUAAUCAGGCAUUUGGUUAAGAUAAUAGGCUUGAGUCUCUAAUUGAUUAUUACUAUUUUAAGGUUUUAAGAUGGCUUCGUAUCUUGAGAUGCCAAACGUAAAAAGGCUUUAGAAAUUGUUUUGCUGCUGGUUUGGGGAACUUGUUGUGUAAUUUCGAACUACUGACAAUGAAUUGGUUUCCCAAAAAGCCGUUCUCCAAAGCUUUGUGCGUUGUUCUUUGGACUGUAGAGGAAGAGGAGUGACGGGAUUUGGACUUUUUCAUUUUCCAAGGCUUAGCCCUUCCCCAUUAUUCUUUAAUUUCGGGUUUCUGGAAACCAGCUGUAUCUCUCUUUAGAAAAUGCCUUGCAUAUUUAUGGUGCGAUCUGACUGUUUUGUAAUGAAAAUAAUAUUGUGGGAUUACACAAAGAGACCUGCUGAUUAAAUAACAAUAAUACCUUGAGCACCAAACAUCUUCUGAUAUUCAAUUAAGAAACAAUAACGCAGCGAACUUUAACCUGUAGACCAUAUUCAGAUCUUCUACAUAAAAGUAAUUGCAUCAGUCAUGAUUUUCUCAAGCUAUAACACAAGCUCUUGAUUGGUCGAUCAACGUCUGAGACUCCUUUUUGCAGCAUUAAUUGGGAAGGCAGACAAUACUCUCCCUGUAAACUAGAUUUUAGGACGAAGGUUAGUUGCCUUUGUACACGUUUACUCAUUGAAAUAGGAAUGUUUGCUUAAUAAUUCAAAACAAAUAGCAUUAGACAACAAGUCCUAAUCCUGAUGUCUCCUCUGCCAGAGUAAAUUAGGAGAAAAUUAGGUGAAACUUCAUUUGAUCAGUGUAGAAGGACUUGUUUAAAAUUUCUUUGAGAUCAGAAUUAGGCUCCAGCAAUUCAAGCCUUUUCUUCUGGCUCUUUUACUGGGAUCUAAAAGAAUAUGUAAAUCGCAUUAUGAAUUUUCUUCCCAAUUAAAGCAGUCAUCAAGCUGUAUAAAGAUGGCUUUCAUGUUUUACUUGCUACGACUGUGUUGUAUGGUAUUUGUACACUAUAUCAAAUGUGUUCUUGGGUAGUGCCGUGUGCCUGUUAGCCGGUAUCCUGAUCUGCUUGACUCAGCUUGGUCUUGGGAGACUGGAUUUUUUGCCCCGGCUUUUUCUUGGGCAAAAGAAAAAACCCAUCCUCAGGAGCCAAAGUGAGGUCUUGUGUGAUGACGUAACUCCUGCGGGACAAGACUAGAGUUGAAAGCAAAGAUUCAACAAUAUCCUAAAGUACCCGCCUGGCUUUGUCAGCCCAUCUUUCUUUGUCAGCCCGGAUAAGCUCGUGCUUUAGUCAAACACGGGAAUAAAAUGAAGCGCAUGCUGCAGCUGCUUUGCUGAGUCAGGGCUGCCUCGGCUACCCAGGUGUCUUAAUUUAUACCCAGAAUUUCAGUGAAUGGGCUCUGGUAGUUUGUUAUAACGUGAGUAAAAAUUCUCUCAGCCUCAUUUUGAACACCUGCUCUCCUACCAAAACGUGACUGCCACACAAAACUGUAGAGAUAACCAGAUCACAUGCAGCAAUUUCCACAUCCUAUCUUUGGGAUAUUUAGUAAAGUAUCACCGUGCACACUUUCCA